GGCACAGCAAGCGUUUAUGUAGCAUCUACCGUGAGCUACGUAUUCAACCCUUCCAACCCCAUGAAGUAGAUACUGCUUUUCACCCCUUCUUCCAACAGGGAAGGAAGAGGAUUUUUCAGAUGCUGUGGCCUCCCAGCUAGAAAGCAGGGGAGACAGUAUCAGAGCCAGGCAGUGGGGCUCCAGAAUGCUCUCACUCACUCCUCCACCAACCCUCCCCGGAAGAAGCAGAGGGCAACGUGCCUGAGUCUGAUGCACACGUGUAUCGUUCAGCUUAGCCACGGUAGGGCACACCCAAACUGUUAGAACGUGGCAACACGGAUCAAAAUCCAGAAUCAAAAUCCAGGCUCACCUUUCAGAGACUUUAAAAUGGUCAUAGGGAAACCAGCCUGGGAACUUCUGUGGAAAAGGACAUUUCAAAAAACUCUUUAUGGGAGUUCCCUGGCACUCCAGUGGUUAGGACUCGGCACCUUCACUGCCGGGGCCCAGGUUCAAUCCCUGGUUGGGGAACUAGGGUCCCGCAAGCCACAUGGCUCGGCCAAAUAUAUAUAUAUAAAUAAUAAUAAUAAUAAAAUUAAUAAAAAUUUAAAACCCUUUACUACCAAGAGUUUCAAACACAUACCAAUGUAGACAAUGGCAUAACCUUCCAUGAAUUUCUCACCCGGCUCCAACUAUGACCAAUACCUGGCCUGUCUUAUUUCAUCUGUGCUCCCCACAUUCCCGCUCCCAGAUUUUUUUUUUUUUAAUUUUAAAAUAUUUAUUUAUUUAUUUAUUUAUUUAUUUAGGCUGCACUGGGUCUUUAGUUACGGCACGCGGGAUCUCCGUUUUGUUAUGCAGGAUCCUUAGUUGCGGCAUGCGGGACUUCUUAGCUGCAGCAUGAGGGAUCUAGUUCCCCGACCAGGGAUCGAACCCGGGCCCCCUGCAUUGGGAGUGCGGUGUCUUACCCACUGGACCACCAGGGAAGUCCCUCCCAGAUUAUUCUGAUAAGGACUUUUUAAAAAAACAAAACUACACGGGAAAAUGGUGCUCUGAAUGCAGCAUUUUGCAUCUGUCAGUAAACAGGGAGCAAAGCCAAAACGGCAGUGACCCAGCCACAGUCUCUUUAGUUCAAAAGGAAGAUGGGGGACUUCCCUGGUGGCGCAGUGGUUAAGAAUCCACCUGCCAAUGCAGGGGACACAGGUUCGAUCCCUGGUCCAGGAAGAUCCCACAUCCUACGGGGCGGCCAAGCCCGCAUGCCACAACACUGAGCCCACGCGCUCUAGGGCCUGCGUGCUGCAACUACUGAGCCCGCGUGCUGCAACUACUGAAGCCUGUGUGCCUAGAGCCCGUGCUCCACAACAAGAGAAGCCACUGCAAUGAGAGGCCCACGCACUGCAACGAAGAGCGGCCCCCACUCGCCGCAACUAGAGAAAGCACUUGUGCAGCAACGAAGGCCCAACACAGCCAAAAAAUAUAUAUAAAUAAAUAAAAAGAAACUUUAUAUAUAUAAAAAAAGGAAGAUGGGAUUUCUUCCCAUUUCCCUAGCUCAUAAUCCAUUUAUACUUUGGAGCUUGAGAACUGAUUGCAAUGGUAAUUUUAGUUCAGCAAGCACCCUGCAACUGUCAUUCAUUCCGAUAGAAGAUCUUUCUAUUUUUGUUUGAAAGAGGGUGGGUAAGUUUAAGUCUGACACAUGAUAACUGAUUCACGUGAAUCUGCUGGAAUAAUUCGGUGCUUGCCAACAUUUCAGACCUGCUAGUAAUCGUGUGGCUACCUCUGUAAAGCUCUAGGGCCAAGGCUGAAAUAUGUUACUUAAAAAGCAGGGCUCUGUCAAAUACAUCUGGUGAUCUUCACUCCUAACAGCAUCUUUCCCUGAUAUUUAUUAAAAUGGUAUCUAUAGUUUCCCCCCCGCCCUCAAAUUUUCCUCAAGGAUCUUUUUUGGUUUUGUUCUUCAGUUUACAGGUUAUGUAGGGGGAGUGAUCACAGUGGAAUUUCUUUUCCCAGUAAAAAAGUAAAACACCUACAGAAUGAAACCCAAAGUCAAUGAACUCAAGCAUUCUGACUCUCACUUAGCCUCUCACCAUAUUCCACUGCACAGCCUAUUCUUCCCAGGACUGCUCCUCAUUCCUUGAACGUGCCCUAAUCCCCUGGCUCCGUGUCUUUCCUGGUGCAAUUUCCUCUGCUGGGAAUAUUCCCUUCCUUUCCACCUCCCACAUCUCCACUUGUGCAAAUUCUACUGGUCCUUCCAAGUCUGGCUUCCAGCCUCUUCCCCAUGAAGCAAAUCCGUUAGUCCCACAGCUCAUGGUACCUCUUCUGUCAUACUGAUCACAUUUUGCCCAACACACAAUAAACACUCUUCACAAUAAACACUCUUCAACCCAGUGUCUCCAGAUCCUAGGACACUUCCUGAUAAAUGCUGGGGAACUGAACCAACUCCAAACAAAAUUCACUGAACUUAUUUUGGUCCAAAUCAGACAAAAAGGACCACUUCAUUGAAAAUUGAAAGGCAGGGACUUCCCUGGUGGCGCAGUGGUUAAGAAUCCGCCUGCCAAUGCAGGGGACACGGGUUUGAUCCCUCAGGGUCCAGGAAGAUCCCACAUGCCGCGGAGCAACUAAGCCCGUGCGCCACAACUACGGAGCCUGCACUCUAGAGCCCGCGAGCCACAACCACUGAGCCCACGAACCACAACUACUGAAGCCCGUGCGCCUAGAGCCCGUGCUCCGCAACAAGAGAAGCCACCACAAUGAGAAGCCCCUGCUCCGCAGCAAUGACGAGCAGCCCCCGCUCGCCCAACCAGAGAAAGCCCGCACGCAGCAACGAAGACCUAACACAGCCAAAAAAUUAAUUAGUUAAUUAAUUAUUUUUAAAAAGAAAGAAAGGAAAUUGAGAGGCAGGACGUUACACCAUCUGCCACCAAAUUGUAAAAGGAGGGCAUAUGUGCGUCUCAUCAUUAACAAGCAACUUCCGACAAGACACCUCUCUGGUAUCCUUAUCAGUAAAAGGAUGAUAAACAACUAGAACAAGGGAAGGUGCACGGGAAGAGUGAGACACUUUGGGUCCGGUCUGGGCUCUGCCUCUAACUCACUUUGUGUCUUUUGUCUACUACGGCUGUAAUUUCUCCACAUGGGGGAAAAAGAGAGAUCACUGUGUUGUUUGGAUCUCUGCUCUGGUAUUCUCUAAAGGGCCCUAAAAUUCUUAAGAGUCUAAUCUUACUUCCUUCUUCUACCGCAAGGUUGCAGGAAAAACAAACAAAAAUCAGAGACCAUAAUAAUUAUAGUUAACCUGUAUUGAACACUUAGGAGGUGCCAGGCACUGUGCUAAGCACUUAACUCCCCUCACCUCUCAACAAUAUCGGGACACACCCACUUCUAUUAUUGCCAUUUCAGAUGCCAAAGGUGAAAUGCAAAAAGAUUGCCUUUUGUCCCAAAUCACAGAAGUAGCCCAGCGGGGGAGUUAGAACCAAGGGCUUUUAUUGACUCCAGAGCUUGAGCUCUUAACUCUUUCCUUAGAUAGCUGUCACAAAAUAUAAAGCUUGAGAUGGGGAUAGGAAAAAGCAGGCCACGUCUGGGUGUCUGAGGCUGAGAGCCCCCUCGCAGCCAAGUGGGAAAGGAACCCGUCCCCAUUCCACAGGAAAAGGUCACAAAGAUCCACCAAAUAAAGCUGACAUUGCUGUACACAGUCAGAGCUCCUGUUCAAAGCUUUAAGAGUUCCUCAAAUUAAACUCUGGAAAAAAAUUACAAAGGGAUAAAAGAUGAGUUUCCGGUUUUCUCCCUCACCUGCAUGCUCCUAUCAAUACUAAAUACCAAGAGCAGAGGGGGCUUCACAGCUUCUCGUUACUCUUUCUAGGUGUAUUUUCUCCGUUGCAACAUUGCAUUGGGAUUUUCUACCACCAUCUCUCUGGAUGUUUAGAUUCUCGUCAUUACUUCAUAAACGGAGAUGGGACGUGAGAGAUGAAUCGUCGGGGCUGGAGGUGAGUGGGGCAAUGAACCAUUAAAGACAGAAGUGUGGAAAGUGAAAAAGCACUGGAUUGGGAGUCAGAACACCCAGGUGUAAGACUUAGUGUUAUCUUGGGCAAAAUUUAAAUCACCUGUUAAAUGCUGAGUGCCUCUUCGCCGCGUUUUUUUUUUUUUGUGAAGAUGAGAGAAGGUAGUGUCUUUGAAAGCGCUUUCUAAUUAUACAUUAUUAUACAAAUAAAAGCUAUUCUUAAGCAAACAAACAAAGCACUCGUCCCCAGGCUGAGUCUGCAGAACAGAACAACCGGCGCUUCCCACCAGGUGGGAAAUAAACUGAAGGCUGGCGCCCAGAGCCGUCCGAGCACGCGCAGUGAGGCCGUGGACGCUAACACGGAAGUCUCCGUGAAGAAGUCUAUACUUCCGAUCCGCCCGUCCCCCCCCCUCCCCCCCGCCCCCCGCCCCGCAGCGCCUCCGUCUCGGCCGCCGGCCCUCAGGGCUGCCUUCCCCAGCCCGUCACCAUCUGAAGGGGCACAGGACGGAAGCGGCCAUCCUACCAACCCAGCUGUCGCCCCCACUCCCGGCAACACAACCCCAAAAGGUCCUCCCUCCCCUUUGCCCGCUUUCAACAUGGCGGCCCACGCACGCUCCGACAUACCGUCCAGGCCGAAUUCCCUCGUCCUUCUCGCCAGGGUGGGUCCCACUCCCACAAAACCGCUCCCGCUCACCUCAGCAAGGCUCGGGCUUCCUUUCCCACGGAGCCCGGUGCCGAGCUCGAAGCGACGGAAGAUCCUUCCUCCUUGACUGACAGGACCUUUACAUCGGAAGUAGCAGAUUCGUCACGGGCCCUGUUUCCGUUUUUGCUUUUAUUUUAAGAAAUUUAAUCACAUGCCUUGAGCGUCGACUGCAUAUCGUCUCCGAAGAGAAUGAACUUUCCGUUUCUCUAAAAUUGUUCACGAAGACAGAAACUGCUAAAUUGAACGAAAGUUGAAAGACGAGCGAAUAUGCGGCUAGUUGUCUGGGAGCCGCUGAAUUUCUCUCCGUAGCGAAGAGGUGUUUCAGCGCGAUGCGACUUUUAGUGCUUAGACUCACUUUGAGAAUUUGAUUAAUAUUGUGGGGUUUUUUUACUCAGAAAAUGCGUAUGCCGGUUCACAAGGAAACUUUGUACGUAUGUUUUGCCAGAGUUUUUCUAACCCGUAAAUUUAACACGUUCGCUUUCCACACAAGCAAAACAGUUCUUCACAGUCAGUUUGGAGACUUUGACUUAAGAAUCGCGCGGAAGCUGGUUUAAAUGCCGUUUCCUGGGCCCCGCAGGGAAUCAGUGAAUUCAGAAUCGCUGAAAAUUUGCAGUUUUUUGCAAGUCCCCCCAAAUGACUCUUUGAGGACCCCUGCCUUUAGAGUCACGGUUAAGAAGCCCAGAUUUAAAACCUAAGCGUGGGAGGGAGAGGGGAGAACCGUGUAGUCAGUAAAUCUGUGUAGAACGGGUAGAUGUAUGCAUUCAGAUUAUGCUGUGUUUCUUUUUUGUUAGGUCAAAAUAUUCGGGUAGCUUACGACUUGUGGUACAACUUGAAAUGUCUUGAUACAGUUGUGCUUUUCUUGAUGAGAGUCUCGUGAUUUCUUCAGCCACCCAUUUUCUGAUUAAUUCUUACAAGUGGGUCCUUUCUGCGAACAGCUGAUCUCAUUUUGAUUCCGGUCCUAUUCUUAGAAGUUACUCAAUGGAAAAUACUUUGACUUUUUAAAAGUGCGAUUUACCAGGUUUCACUGUGUAACAAAAAGGAAGGAAGAUAUGGUGCCUUAGAGGAUGAAUUUCUAGAGAAAUUUCAAGGCAGAAGGAACUUUUGAAAAGGACAGUGGUGCAGAAGAGAUUCAUACCAGCAGUGGUGGCUGGGGAUCCUGAUGGUAAAAAAUAAAUGCAGCAACAUUAAAUUCUUUCUGAUAAGCAUUGCUCUGCGAAGGCUACAUUCCAGCAAUGAUGUUCGGUGGUUUUUAGUCUAUUCACAGAGUUGUGCAACCAUCACCACAAUCUAAUUUUAGACCAUUUUCAUCACCCCAAAAAGAAGCCCUGUCUGCAUUAGCACUCGCUCCCCAUCCCCCUCCCCCAGCUCUAGACAACCACUAAUCUACUUUCUAUCUCUUUGGAUUUGCUGUUGUGCACAUUUCAUAUAAAUGGAAUCAUACAAUAGGUGGCCUUUGUGGCUGGCUUCUUUCACUCAGUAAAAUGUUUUCAAGAUUCAUCCACAUUGUAGCAUCUGUCAGUGCUUCAUUCCUUACCUCCUUACCAGCACUUUAUUGAGGUAUAAUUUACCUAAAGGAAAUACACAGUGUUAAGCAUACAGUUCCAUAAUAUUUCACCUACGUAUAUACUCAUGUGACCUUCACCAAGAUCAAGAUGUAGCACAUUUUCAUCACCGCAUAGAGUUUCCUCAUAUGUUAAAAGAAGGAAAACUGGUAAAGUACACAUAAGGUAAAAUUUAUUUUACAACCUUAACCAUUUUUAAGUGUACAGUUCGGUAGUGUUAAGUACGUUCAUAUUGUUGUGCAACCAAACUCCAGAACUUUUUCACCUUACAGAAUGAAACUCUAUACCCACUAAACAACAACCCUCCAUUCCCCCCUCCCCCCAGCCCCUGGCAACCACCAUUCUACUUUCUGUUUCUGUGAGUUUGUACAGUAGAUAUCUCAUAUAAGUGAAAUCAUAUAGUAUUUAUCUUUUGGUGACUGACUUAAUUUCACUUAGCAUAAAGUUCUCAAGGUUCAUCGAUGUUGUGGCAUGUGUCAGAAUUUCCUUCCUUUUUAAGGCUGAUUAAUAUUCCAUUGUAUGUAUACACCGCAUUUUUUUAUCCAUUCAUCUGUGGCUGGACAUUUGGGUAACUUCCACCUUUUGGCUAUUGUGAAUAAUGCUACUAUGAACAUGAGUGUGCAAAUAUCUCUUUGACACCCUGCUUUCAAUUCUUUUGGAUAUGUACCCCAAAGUGGUAUUGCUAGAUCAUAUGAUAAUUCUGUUUUUCAUUUCAUUUCAUUUAUUUAUUUAUUUAUUCUUAUUAUUUUUUUAUACAGCAGGUUCUUAUUAGUCAUCCAUUUUAUACAUAUCAGUGUAUCCAUGUCAAUCCCAAUCGCCCAGUUCAUCACACCACCCCCACCCCCCCAGCCACUUUCCCCCCUUGGUGUCCAUACGUUUGUUCUCUACGUCUGUGUCUCAAUUUCUGCUCUGCAGGGACUUCCCUGGCAGUCCAGUGGUUAAGACUCUGCACUUCCACUGCAGGGGACGCAGGUUUGUUCCCUGGUUGGAAAACUAAGAUCCCAAAUGACGUAAAGUGUGGCCAAAAAAAAAAAUAAAGAAAGAAAUGCAAUUGAUAUUUUAUAUUGAUCUUGUAUGCUGCAACCUUGAGUUCAUUUAUUAGCUCUAAUAGUUUUUUUGUGGAUUCUUUAGCCUAUUAAUAUGGUGGAUUACAUAGAUUGAUUUUUUUUUAGUAUUUAUUUAUUUAUCUUUGGCUGCAUCGGGUCUUGGUUGUAGCUGCGGGAUUUUUUUUUUUUUUUUUAAAUGGCUGUGUUGGGUCUUCGUUGCUGUGCGUGGGCUUUCUCUAGUUGCGGUGAGCAGGGGCUACUCUUCGUUGCGGUGCGUGGGCUUCUCAUUGCGGUGGCUUCUCUUACUGUGGAGCACGGGCUCUAGACGCGCAGGCUUCAGUAGUUGUGGCUCGCGGGCUCAGUAGUUGUGGCUCGUGGGCUCUAGAGCGCAGGCUCAGUAGUUGUGGCGCACGGGCUUAGUUGCUCCACGGCAUAUGGGAUCUUCCCUGACCAGGGCUCAAACGCGUGUCUCCUGCCUUGGCAGGCAGAUUCUUAACCACUGCGCCACCAGGGAAGUCCCUAAUUUAUUUAGUUUUUACUUUUUUGGCUGCAUCAGUCUUAGUUGUGGCACAUGGGAUCUUCGUUGAGGCACGCGGGAUCUUUUGUUGCAGUGCACAGGCUUCUCUCUAGUUGUGGCUUGCUGGUUUUCUCUCUCUAGUUGUGGUGCUCCGGCUCCAGAGCACGUGGGCUCUGUAGUUUCCGGCACACGGGCUCUCUCGUUGAGGUGCGCGAGCUCAAUAGUUGUGGCGUGUGGGCUCAGUUCCCCGACCAGGGAUCGAACCUGCGUCCCCUGCAUUGGAAGGUGGAUUCUUUACCACUGGACCACCAAGGAAGUCCCAAAAGAUAAUUUUACUUAAGUCAAACUGAGGAUUAUAACCCAAGAGACAGACUCUCAGAAGCUCUGAGAACUGUUCUGCCUAUUAGAAGUCGAAGACACAGUCAUAAGCCUUUUUGAGACAAAGGAUCAUACAUCAAAAUGACAUACUGACAUUUUACUUAAACUUCACCAAAGAUACAUAGUCCAGGUAAGCAAGCAAUUAAGUCACCGUGACUCCCUGCAGAGUUUGGAAAGUGUGCUCAUCUUUUAAGCAGUUACAUUGCUAGCAUCAGAAGAAAGGGAAAAACAAGUUGACCUUCGUGGUCAAGCAGGCAUUCCCACCUUUGAGGAGGUCUGGUUAAUGUAUAAUGCAAACGUACCUUGCACAUGAGAGAGGGAGGGAGGAGGUCCAAAUGGACAGAGAGAGAAUUUUGUUUACAUUUUCUUGUCCUGCCUUAAAAUAUAAAUUUAAUUUCAUCAAUGUAGUCCAGUUUAUCUAUUUUUUCUUUUGUUUCUUUUUCUGUGUUUUCAAAAAAUUCAUUGCCAAAUCCAUUGACAUAAAGCUUUUCCACUAUGUUUUCUUCUUAGAGUUUUAUAGCUUUAGGCCUUUGAUCCAUUCUGAGUUAAUUUUUGUAUAUAGUGUAAGGUAAGGUACGUCACACUUUUGCACGUGGGUAUCCAAUUUUCCCAACACCAUUUGUUGAAAAAACUAUCCUUUCCCGCAAUGAACAGUCUUGGCACCCUUGUUGAAAAUAAUUUGACCGUGUUUGUGAGGGUUUCUUUCUGGACCCUCUAUUCCUUCAUUCCUUUUUAUGAGUGAAUAAUAGUCCAUUGUAUGGAUAUACCAUAUUAUAUUUAAUGGUAAGCCUAAUAUUUCUCCAUAUUUAAUCACAGGGUGUCAUCAGGUCUGUGAUUAAUGGAUUCCUGAGCCCUUGCCCGGGGCCUUGUUUGAUCAUUAAAACAUUGUACCAUUGUACCAUCUGAAAAUAGUGUCUGUUUUGUUUGUUUGCUUUUUGUUUGUUUGUUUCAU